rnacentral:tRNA from 1 species
ACCUGGCUGGCUCACUUGGUAGAGCAUGUGACUCUUGAUCUCAUGGUUGUGAGUUAAAGCCCCACGUUGGGCA